rnacentral:rRNA from 1 species
AGAGCGAACGCUGGCGGCAGGCCUAACACAUGCAAGUCGAGCGCCCCGCAAGGGGAGCGGCAGACGGGAGAGUAACACGUGGGAACGUGCCCUUUGGUUCGGAACAACACAGGGAAACUUGUGCUAAUACCGGAUAAGCCCUUACGGGGAAAGAUUUAUCGCCAAAGGAUCGGCCCGCGUCUGAUUAGCUAGUUGGUGAGGUAACGGCUCACCAAGGCUACGAUCAGUAGCUGGUCUGAGAGGAUGAUCAGCCUCACUGGGACUGAGACACGGCCCAGACUCCUACGGGAGGCAGCAGUGGGGAAUAUUGGACAAUGGGCGCAAGCCUGAUCCAGCCAUGCCGCGUGGGUGAUGAAGGCCCUAGGGUUGUAAAGCCCUUUCGGCGGGGAAGAUAAUGACGGUACCCGCAGAAGAAGCCCCGGCUAACUUCGCGCCAGCAGCCGC